UUUAUGGAGAGUUUGAUCCUGGCUCAGGAUGAACGCUGGCGGCGUGCCUAAUACAUGCAAGUCGAGCGAACGGACGAGAAGCUUGCUUCUCUGAUGUUAGCGGCGGACGGGUGAGUAACACGUGGAUAACCUACCUAUAAGACUGGGAUAACUUCGGGAAACCGGAGCUAAUACCGGAUAAUAUUUUGAACCGCAUGGUUCAAAAGUGAAAGACGGUCUUGCUGUCACUUAUAGAUGGAUCCGCGCUGCAUUAGCUAGUUGGUAAGGUAACGGCUUACCAAGGCAACGAUGCAUAGCCGACCUGAGAGGGUGAUCGGCCACACUGGAACUGAGACACGGUCCAGACUCCUACGGGAGGCAGCAGUAGGGAAUCUUCCGCAAUGGGCGAAAGCCUGACGGAGCAACGCCGCGUGAGUGAUGAAGGUCUUCGGAUCGUAAAACUCUGUUAUUAGGGAAGAACAUAUGUGUAAGUAACUGUGCACAUCUUGACGGUACCUAAUCAGAAAGCCACGGCUAACUACGUGCCAGCAGCCGCGGUAAUACGUAGGUGGCAAGCGUUAUCCGGAAUUAUUGGGCGUAAAGCGCGCGUAGGCGGUUUUUUAAGUCUGAUGUGAAAGCCCACGGCUCAACCGUGGAGGGUCAUUGGAAACUGGAAAACUUGAGUGCAGAAGAGGAAAGUGGAAU
rnacentral:rRNA from 1 species